rnacentral:lncRNA from 1 species
AAAAAAGAUCGGCGAAAUUUUUGGGGGGAGGGUGCGGGGGCCGGCGCGCGCAACCGGGCAAUGUCGCGGCGCGAGCGCGCGCGGAUCUUUGUUGCGUGCCGCCGACCCGCCUCGGCCACAUCGAGACCUGUUGCAGGCGCGCAACACACACACACACGAAAAAAAGACCUGCCAAGGCAAAUUGCGACCUCAAAGCGCACGGCAACCGCUCGGCGACUGUCCGAGAAAAAAAUCGGUCCAUGAAUUUUAAACAAAAAAGUCAGGUGGCGGCCAAGACAAGGCCACGAGGAGGAGGUUCUGUGUCGCAGACGCCUUUCUUUUUGUUUUGUGUCGGACCAACCUCAAUG